CGUGCUGGAUCCACAGCAGCCAGGGUGCCUUUCUCUUCUCCGUUUUUGGUCUUGUUCGGGAAAAAGGGUCCCCAUCUGCCUGGCCCUACUAAGAAGCCUUCCCUCCCCUAGAGGCACUAGCUCCCAGGAAGCAACAGUCCCGGACUGAAGCAAGCAGGGGCCAUUUUCCGGAAAUCCCAGCAUUCUGGCAUGCCUCCCCAACAGUUCCCAAAAGAGGCAGCUGCCCCCCAGCAGCAGCCUUGCCUAGGCUUGGAUGGUCCAGCGCAGCUGAUUCAGCGAUCCGGGGCCCAGGGCCCCUCCCCCGCCCUGCCAGGCAGCUUGCCCGGGCCUGUUGGCAGCUGUGUCACAUGGGGCCUCGGGCAGAGUUGUGUGGCCCGCACUGCGCCUGGGGAUGGGUGGCAGACUGAAGGGCACAGACUGCCAGGUGUCCCCUCCCUCUCUCCCUGUCCAGCUCCCCCUCCUCGGCAGUGCUUUUCCAGUCUCCUGCAGAAGAGCAGCCAUAGGAGGGUGCCACGGGCCCCCGUGAGGGGAGGCGCCGGUGUGGUGCCACUGAGCUGUGCUUUGGGACCUCUGGUACAGUGGAAACUCUCAUCCCGUUCCAAAUAAACAGCCUCUACUUCCCCAGCACACCCCCAACACAGCCAGUCUCUCAGAAGCCAGGGUCUGGGGUAGAGUUCUUGUCCAUCUCUGGUGGGGCCAACUGUGGCCAUCUCCCAGGAUGGGGAGGGGUAUCCCAUCCUGACUAGCCAGCACAAGAUAGACGCUGGGGCCCCAGGGGCUCCCGUAUGAUCAGGAACAGAGCAGGGAGGAAUUGAAGCAGGUACCCUCUUCUCUGAAAGUCUAGCUUGUAGCUGGUCUUGCUGCAGCCCAGAGUUAUGUCUUAACUGUGGACCCUGGACAGGACAGGGGAGUCUGUGGGGAUCCCUGACCCAGUCUAGGGGCACAGCUGUGCCAGCCACUUGAGAAAAUGGGACCUGGAUUCAAGUUUGAUGAGCUGAUACACCGCACUUGGUAUCCUGUUACCGUGGGGCUACGGGUUCAGGCACCCCCUGAACACCACCAUCUCUGGUAGCACUGGCCACAGCAUCUGCAGGCUGACACCUCAGCCCCACGCCCAUCCCUGCCAGCAGAUGUUUUGAUGGCUAGAAGAAGCCCAGAUGGCAGCCUAGAAGAAGUCCUGCCAGAGACAAGGUCUAAGAAGGGAUCCAAGCUCUCUUGGCUAGGAGCCCACACAUGUCCCUGCCCCAAAGAGAGAUCCACACCCUGAGGAGGAUGAUGAUGAAAGCCCACCUGUGUCUUCCUGGUCACACCCUUUCAGGACCGACGCUGGGCUGUGGAUUCAACGGGGACUCCGUGAGCAUCUCCAUGGCAGGCCCAAUGGUGGGGCCAAGCACACGUGUGGUAUAUGGACAGACCCUGUAUUAGUGUUCUAGUGCCGUGAAGAGACACCAUGAUCACAGAACUCUGGUAAAGGGAAGCAUUUCAUUGAGGCUGGCUUAUGGUUUCAGAGGUUUGCUCCAUUGUCAUCAUGGUGGGGAUCAUGGUGGCAUGCAGGCGGACAGGCUGCUGGAGAAUUAGCUGAGAGUUCUACAUCUGGAUAGGCAGGCAGCAGGAAGACAGCCACUGGGCCUGGCUUGAGCUUCUGACACCUCAAAGUCUUUCCCCAGUGACACACUUCCUCAGACAAGGCUACACCUACCCCAACAAGGCCACACCUCCUAAUCCUUCUAUGUAGAGCCACUCCCUGAUGACUAAGCACUCAAAUAUAUGAGCCUAUGGGGGUCAUUCAAACCACCACAGAGCUGGACUCCAGCAUUGGCAGAUGCCCAGCCCCAGUGUCAGCCUUUCUGAGACUAUGAUGAAUU